CUUAGUGCAUGUACUCUAUACUGUGAUAAUUCAGAUUAGGAGUCUAGGGGGGGCUGAUUAAGUGGUACUUAGGCUCUAAGGAAAAAAGGAGCUUGAUUGACUAAGUUAUUUGUUGCUUGAGGACAAGCAAAAAGCUAGGUGUGGGGGUAUUUGAUCAAGCAUAAUUUAGCCACAUUUUUAUCAUAAUUAUUAUUGUUUAUUUACACAUUUUUUAUUUUAAUUUAUGGUUUUUAUCUUGUUUUUACAGAAAAGGAAGAAAUUGGAAAAUUGGAGAAAAAGUGCAGAAAAUUGACAGAAAAGUGAUUGGGUCAGUGAUUUGCCCAAAACACUCAAAUCACCGGGCAAAUCACUUUGACAACAGAAACCUGGAGGCAACAGGCAGAAGUGAUAUGGGCAAGUGAUUUGCCCAAGACACUCGAAGACACUGGCCAAAUCACUCGCAGAAGACAGAGAGCAAAAAAAACUGGACUGACUCACAGAAAAGUGAUUGGGUCAGUGAUUUGCCCAAAACACUCAAAU
rnacentral:lncRNA from 1 species